CGGAAGUAAAGUCGUAACAAGGUUUCCGUAGGAACUGCGAAGGAUCAUUAAUAAAUGGUCUACGUUUUUUUAAGUAGACGCUUAAUAAUCUACCCUUUGUGAAUUUGUUGUUUUGAAAUAAUUUUUUUUUAAAAUUAUUGAUUGUCUUUCCUGUUGAAUUGGUGUCUUAAUGGCAAAUGAUUCGCAGGGAGUGUCAGUAAUUUUUAAAAGACCUUUUUUAAAAUUAACUUUUUUGUAUUCAUUUGUCUAAAAUUAUUUUUAUAAUAUAAAAACAACUUUUGACAAUGGACUCUUGUUCUCGCAACGAUGAAGAACGCAGCAAAUGCGAUAAGUAGUGUGAAUUGCAGAUACGUGAAUCAUCGAAUCUUCGAACGCAUAUGCACUUUUUAGUUUACUAAAAAAGUAUGUCUGUUGUAUCAGUAAAAUAUUCAUAAAACUUUUUGUUUUUAUGGUUAUGAGUGUUUACAACGAUACAAGUGUUCACUUUAAAUUUUUUUUAAAAUUUGAAUUUUUCUAUUUUAAAUAAAUUGGAUAAAAUUUCCCGUAAAAAAGGAUACCUAAACAAUUUAAUUUUGAUUAGAAUUCUUCAUUAUAAAGGAAAAUUUAACUAAAUAACUUGAUCUCAAAUCAGAUAAGAGUACCCGCUGAACUUAAGCAUACAAUAAGCGGAGGAAAAGAAACUAACAAGGAUCCUUAGUAACGCGAGUGAAGCGGAAGAGCUCAAAUUUGAAAUCUCAAGUUUACCUUGACGAAUUGUAGUUUAAAGAAGUGUUUUCUGUUGAAGUUUUGGUAAAGUUCUUGGAAUAGGAAUCAUAGAGGGUGAGAAUCCCGUAUUUGACCAUUAUUUUCAGCUGUGUGAUACACUUUCAAAGAGUCGGAUUGUUUGGAAUGCAGUCCAAAUGGUGUAAUUCAUCUAAAGCUAAAUAUUGGCGAGAGACCGAUAGCGAACAAGUACGUGAGGGAAAGAUGAAAAGAACUUGAAAAGAGAGUUAAACAGUACGUGAAAUUGUCAAAGGGAAGCGUUUGACACCAGUGUUGUUUUCUCGAAAUCAAUUAAAAAGUUGAUUUUGUGUUGUAUUACCUUAACAGCUUGCUUCACUCUUUCUUGCUUUUUUUAAUGCACUUUCGUUUAACAAGUCAACAUCAGUUCUUUUGUUGUAAAAGGGUCAUUGGAAGGUCUUUCUCUUCGGAGAAAGUGUUAUAGCCUUGAUCUCUGCAAUCGGAGAGACUGAGGUCUGCAGCGUGAUCCUUCGGGGUUAGAUACAUUGUGCUAAGCUACAGCUUUCAUAGACAACUUGUUGACUAUGUUUAGUCUUGUAACUUACCGCUUAUGCUAUUUUACCUACGCUUAGGAUGUU
rnacentral:misc_RNA from 1 species